CAGGAAGCAGCUUGCUGCUUUGCUGACGAGUGGCGGACGGGUGAGUAAUGUCUGGGAAACUGCCUGAUGGAGGGGGAUAACUACUGGAAACGGUAGCUAAUACCGCAUAAUGUCGCAAGACCAAAGAGGGGGACCUUCGGGCCUCUUGCCAUCGGAUGUGCCCAGAUGGGAUUAGCUAGUAGGUGGGGUAACGGCUCACCUAGGCGACGAUCCCUAGCUGGUCUGAGAGGAUGACCAGCCACACUGGAACUGAGACACGGUCCAGACUCCUACGGGAGGCAGCAGUGGGGAAUAUUGCACAAUGGGCGCAAGCCUGAUGCAGCCAUGCCGCGUGUAUGAAGAAGGCCUUCGGGUUGUAAAGUACUUUCAGCGGGGAGGAAGGCGACAGGGUUAAUAACCCUGUCGAUUGACGUUACCCGCAGAAGAAGCACCGGCUAACUCCGUGCCAGCAGCCGCGGUAAUACGGAGGGUGCAAGCGUUAAUCGGAAUUACUGGGCGUAAAGCGCACGCAGGCGGUCUGUCAAGUCGGAUGUGAAAUCCCCGGGCUCAACCUGGGAACUGCAUUCGAAACUGGCAGGCUA
rnacentral:rRNA from 1 species